CUGAGCGUCGGCAAUUGUGAAAGAAAAAAAAAGCCGAAUUUCUCACAGAAUCCUAUUUGGGGACUUAAAGCUCUGCGAAGCACCCAGCGCUGUUAGAUUCGUGACACAAACAUGAAUGUUCCCCAGACGUGCAGGUGGGCGCAGAAAUCCACACCGACCCACGGACAACAGCAGCAUGGCAGCUUCCCACCAGCUGUACGUGAAGGAAACUGCCCCAGGGCUCUGCAGUUGUUUGUUUGGGCGCAUGGAGAGUUCAAACCGAAAGUUGGAAAGCAAAACAAAACCUAGCAAGCCAAAACCGUUGUUUGAAUUAGGCGGUUCUUCUACAACCAGUCCAAGCGAGAAGUCGACAAUAUACGUCCUAGUUAUUGUGGAAAGAUCAGCUAAGAAAGAAAAAGAACAGAAGAGGCAGUGAGCAGGCAGGCGCGGAGCGGGCUCUCCUGGCAGCCAGAGGCCGGAGCCACGGACGCCUGGUGCUCACCUGCAGCAAGAGAAAGUUCUCAUCGCGUGGAAAUGGCCCCAGGGAGGGAAGAACGAACAGUCGUAUUUGAGCAAUAAUACAAUGUAAACAAACAGUAAGUUUGUGGAGCUUUUCUGUAUUUCUCAAGGCACAAAAAUGUUCUUUGUGAGAGGUUGUGUUGCUGCCUUCAGCCGCUGCAAACUGCUGCUCUCAUCUGCAUAGCGAGCAGAAAAACCGGGCGCUUCUGAUAGAAGUCUCAGCCAUAUAUAACAGUCCUAAGGCCAAGAGCCUCAGGGCACAUCAUCCAGAAGUGAAAACAGAACGUGCUCUGGGACUCAGUGAGAAGCAGAGGACAAGGGCUGUCCAGUGAUGCCAUCUCUCAGUGCAGGCUGGCACACACCACUGAUGUCUCCUGGCCACAUCUGCAAGCGUGGCCUCUGAGGACUGGCUUCUGUCCACAGCUUGGAUUCAAGAUGGUGCUAAUGCAGCUCCACCUGGAAUAGCUCAGUACCUAAAUUGCUUCCAGGUCAUGAGGAAUUGACACCUCUCACUCACAGUGGAAAAGGAUAAUGCGAAUUUGUGAGAAUUAUUUAAUGACCGGUGAAAAAUUCUGCCAUUCUUAACUCCCAGUCAAAAAGAAGCCAAGAGAU